GAUGAACGCUGGCGGCGUGCCUAAUACAUGCAAGUCGAGCGAACAGACGAGGAGCUUGCUCCGUUGACGUUAGCGGCGGACGGGUGAGUAACAUGUGUAUAACCUACCUAUAAGACUGGGAUAACUUCGGGAAACCGGCGCUUACACCGGAGAAUAUAUUGAACCGCAUGGUUCAAUAGUGAAAGUCGGUGUUGCGGUCUCUUAUAGAUGGAUCUGCGCCGCAUUAGCUAGUUGGUAGGGUAACGGCUUACCAAGGGAACGAUGCGUAGCCGACGUGAGAGAGUGGUAGCCGGCACGAGAGGUGGAACACGGUCAUGGGUCCUGCGGGAGGCAGCAGAAGGCAAUGUUCCGCAGUAGGGGAGAACAUGGCGGAACAACGCGGCGUGAGUGGUGGAAGUCUUGGGUUCGUGAAACUCUGUUAUUAGGGAAGAACAGAUGUGUAAGUAACUGAACACGGCUUGACGGUACCGGGUCAGAAAGCCACGGCUAACUACGUG
rnacentral:rRNA from 1 species